rnacentral:misc_RNA from 1 species
GAUGAAGAACGUAGCGAAAUGCGAUAAGUAAUGUGAAUUGCAGAAUUCAGUGAAUCAUCGAAUCUUUGAACGCACAUUGCGCCCGCCAGUAUUCUGGCGGGCAUGCCUGUCUGAGCGUCAUUUCAACCCUCAUGCCCCUAGGGCGUGGUGUUGGGGAUCGGCCAAAGCCCGCGAGGGACGGCCGGCCCCUAAAUCUAGUGGCGGACCCGUCGUGGCCUCCUCUGCGAAGUAGUGAUAUUCCGCAUCGGAGAGCGACGAGCCCCUGCCGUUAAAACCCCAACUUUCCAAGGUUGACCUCAGAUCAGGUAGGAAUACCCGCUGAACUUAAGCAUACAAUAGCGGAGGA